GUGAGAUGGCCCGCGGAGCCAACGCCCCAUCUGUCCCUCCAGUGUGGGAAAGACAUGUCCUUAAUGCAACUGAACCACCUCGAGUUACAUGCAGACACCGAGCGUACGAGGAGGUAGCUGGCUCCACGAGCUCAAUUCUUACCCAUGAUCAUCUGGUUCAUCGUUCAUUUUUCUUUAGCCCUUCAUAUAACGGCUCUUCGAAGAUUGGUCCCACCUCACCUCAGCCAUUGUUCUAGUUUCGAAAUAUUAACGGCAUGUCUUUGGAUAUGUCGGACCAUUGCCCUCCAACCAGAUCCUAAUGAAGAAAUGCGCAUAAUUUGCCUCGUCAACGCACGUGAAAAAUUCAACCCUCCAUUAUUACCAAGAGGUUACUAUGGUAAUGGUUUUGGUCUUCUAGCAGCAGUAGCCACUGCGGGGGAACUUUCGAGAAAGCCAAUUGGAUAUGCUUUGGAGCUGGUAAGGAAGGCUAAGGCGGACAUGACUGAGGAGUACUUGCGAUCCACAGCAUCGUUGAUGGUGAGCAAGGGAAGGCCUCUUUUUACUGUGCCAGGGACCUACAUAGUGUCGGACUUGAGACGUGCCGGACUUGAAAAGGUAGAUUUCGGAUGGGGAAAUGCUAUCUAUGGUGGGACUGCAAAAGCCAUCCCUGAACUUGCAAGCUUUUAUAUUCCGUUUACAAAUAAGAAAGGAGAAGAUGGGAUCGUUGUACCAUUUUGUUUGCCAUCUCCUGCUGUGGAAAGAUUUUACAAGGAGCUUGAAGGCAUGCUAAAGGGACAGCUAGUUAGCGGAGGAGCAAAUUCCAAGUUAAUCGUAUCUUCUUUAUAGGUUAAAUUGUUUACUCUUAUUUUCUAUGUACCACAUAUCAUUUAUGUAUGCUGCGUUUGAAUUUCAUUUUUUAAUAUUAGUACGACAUUUACCUUUUAUGUCCAUUCAGCAUGUGUUAUAUAUGAUUAUUAAUAAUAUGAGUGUUUGUUUUUGUAAUUCUUUUUAUGGCUGUUAUUUAAAAAAAAUAAUUUAAAUUGUAGUUGGAUAUCAAAUAAUCAAAGAGGAUAUUAAUUUUUUUUCAUACAUGACAUUAAACAUUUAAUAUAUAAGUAAGAUCAACUACUUGUAACAUAAAAACUUUUAUAAUUCUCUCAUCAAACUUAAAGUAGUUUGACAAGAAUGAUGAUUGUUGUUGAAACAUUAUUUUAUAGGUUUUACAAUCAUUUAUGGCAAAAAAAAAAAAAAACCAACGACACACAACAUCUAUAACUGAGGUUUUAAGAAGAGAAGAGGUCAAUGGAAGAAAUUGUGAACUAUUGAUAGAAUCAAGAAGACGAUAAGAAGCAGGUCAGGAAGAGUAGAGAGGAGAGGAGGGAUAUUUUGGUCAAGAGAUAAUUGAACGGUCUUCAAUGUUCCAUAAGUAAGUAUGAACCUAUAUUGUGGGACCAUAAUUAUUAUAUGGGUCUUACAUUCUUCAACCAACAUUUUAAAUGUUUUUCAGAGAAUCAUUAAUUGAGGAUGCGCCACAUCAUAUUUUCUACUACAAAAAUAAAUACAUUCAUAAACACACGGUUGACAAAUUUAUGCUUGAAGAAAAGGACUCCAUUUCAUAUUUAUAACCGAUGGACUUUUUCCUAAUUCUUACACAUGAUCAUCUGGCUCAUCCUUCGUUUUUCUUUAGCCCUUCAGAUAUAACUGCUCUUCGAAGAUUGGUCUCACCUCACCUCAGCCAUGUUCUAGUUUCGAAAUAUUAACGGCAUGUCUUUGGAUAUGUCGGACCAUUGCCUCCAACCAGAUCCUAAGAUAAUGAAGAAAGCUUCAUAAUUUGCCCUCGUCAACGCACGUGAAAAUUCAACCCUCCAUUAUUACCAAGAGGUUACUAUGUAAUGGUUUUUUCUUCUAGCAGCAGUAGCGACUGCAGGUGAACUUUUGAAUGACCAAAGGUCAUUUUGGAUCAUGUAAUCUACAGGAUCCACGGCUAUGUUAGGUCCUGCAGAGAGGCAUACCCAAGGUUAUGUUGGGUCCUCCAGUCUCUAUAACCUGAAGCUAGUUUAGGUUCUACCCGACUCCCCAGACUCAAAGCUAUUUUGGAUUCUAUACCCGGCCAAACCCUAUGCUAUUUUGAGUCUUGCCCCGAUCUAACCCAAGGCUAUUCUUGGUCCUGCAGAGGCUAGGAUCCAAGGAUAUUUAGGGUUUUGCCCGGCCGGAACCAAAACUAUUUUGAGUUUUGUCCAACUCGAAUCCAUAGUUAUUAAGGUCCUGAACCAGCCAGAACCCAAAUCUAUUUGGGUUCUGCAUAAUAUUGGACCCAACAUAGAUUUUAUAGUAUUAAUAAUAAGAGUAAACAGAUAAGGGAGGAAGAAAUUAUUAAGGGAGCAAGAAAUACUGAUGCAUAUCAAACACUACGAAGUCUAUCAAGCCAUCAUAAGAGUAGACAAAUAGCAAAAUUAUAAGCUAUUAUAUUGGUGAAACCUACCAUGAUUAUUUGUAUGUUCUGAUAUAUAUAUAUAUAUAUAUAUAUAUAUAUAUAUAUAUUUUAUAGUUGUUAUAGUUACUAUAAAAUUACUUUCAAAAUUUUAUUAGAAAAAUGAUCUCAAAAUUUUAAUUUCAAAUCGUAAUCUUUCUUGUUAGUGCAAGUUGAGGAGGAAAAAGUAACAUCAUAAAUGUUAUAUUUAUUAGGUUUAAUAUUAUGUUCCUGUUUUGGGUUGAUGAUCUAACAAUUCCAAUCCACUAGUCAAAUAGGCAUAAUUCGAUAAUACAUCUAGGUAUACGCUGUCUAAUUAAUUAUGCAAAUUGGCAGGUGUCACGACUCAUGUGUGGUGGUUUUCUCUUUGUCCUCCGCCUCAACCAUACCAUGAGUGAUGGCCCAGGAUUAGUGCAAUUCAUGGCAGCGGUGGCUGAGAUGGCCCGCGGAGCCAACGCCCCUUGACAUGUCCUUAAUGCUACUGACCCAUUGUUAUCAAUUCUGUUUUUUUCAUAAGACUUUUGUUUUUUUCAAUUGAAAUGUAAUGUUUUGUUUUAGAGUGUUUGACGUGUCGUUUCAGGAUUGUAUUGUUCAUACACAAACAUAUAUAUAUAUUCUCAACAAACCUAAUUCAAAUUCAAGAUAAAUUAAUUAUAAAUUAUGCAAUACAAACACAAUACCAGAUAAAUAUAAUUUUAAAAUUUAAAUUUUUUUCUAAAUAGUCAAGAUUAAAUAAAUUUUUAACUUAAAGUAAUUCAACUUAAACAAAAUAUCAAAAUAUUAUAAAAGUAAAAUGUUUUAACACAAAUAUUUUAAAUAUAAAGUUAGGUCAAUGUUAUCAAGGCUAAUGGAAUCUAAAGCAUUCCUUGUUUUGCUCAAAUUCCUGUAGUAUAAACAUGAAAAAAACAACAUGAAUAUAAACCAUAUAUAUUAGUGAUAAAUCUAAUUUUAAAAAAUUAAUAUUAUCGUCAAUGAAAAUAGUAAUGAAAAAGAACUUUUUAUACUUGAGUGGUUUAAUUAAUUAAAUUGAACAAUGUUCAAAUUGAUUCAAUGGCUUUUCAAGAGUAGAACGAAACAUGUGGAAUGAAACCGGAAUGUUCCGGCCGAAAUUUAGUCAAAAAAUCCGGAACGGACAAAGAUUUAAAAUGAAACGAAAAUUAUUUUGUUUUGUUUCAUUUUUUAAAUUGAUAUAGAAUAUUUUGAUCAUUUCAGAUAAAACAGAAUGAAAUUAAUAACCUUACCUCGAGUUGCAUGUAGACACCGAGCGUACGAGGAGGUAGCUGGCUCUAAGAGCUCAAUUCUUACACAUGAUCAUCUGGCUCAUCGUUCAUUUUUCUUUAGCCCUUCAUAUAUAACUGCUCUUCGAAGAUUGGUCCCACCUCACCUUAGCCAUUGUUCUAGUUUCGAAAUAUUAACGGCAUGUGUUUGGAUAUGUCGGACCAUUGCCCUCCAACCAGAUCCUAAUGAAGAAAUGCGCAUAAUUUGCCUCGUCAACGCACGUGAAAAAUUUAACCCUCCAUUAUUACCAAGAUGUUACUAUGGUAAUGGUUUUUUUUUUUCUAACAGUAGUAGCGACUGUAAGGGAACUUUCGAAUGACCCAAGGCCAUUUUGGAUCAUGUAAUCUGGAGGAUCCUUGGCUAUGUUAGGUCAUGCAAAGAGGCCAUAUCCUUGGCUAUGUUAGGUCCUGCAGUCUCUAUUUUAGAUCUUGCACCGGACCGAGACUAUUUUGGGUCUAACCCAACUCCCUAGACCCCAAGCUAUUUUGGAUUUUGCACCCGGCCAAACCCCAUGCUAUUUUGGCCUCGACACGACCCAAGGCUAUUCUUGGUCCUGCAGAGGCCAGGACCCAAGGAUAUUUGGGGUCCUGCCAAAGGCUAUUUUGGGUCCUGUCCAAUCGGAACCAAGUCUAUUUUGGGUCUUGCCCAACUCGAAUCCAAGGCUAUUAAGGUCCUGACCCAGCCAGAAACCAAAUCUAUUUUGGGUUCUGCAUAAUGUUAGACCCAACAUAGAUUUUAUAGUAUUAAUAAUAAUAUUUAACUUGCCUAUUCAAGUUUUAAUUUUUUUAAUUAAUUUUAAAAAAUAUAUGGCUUUUCUUCGAUAGUAAUAAUAUUUUUUAAUUUACUAAUGAUAAUAAUAAUAUUUCAAAUAAUAAUAUUUUUUAGUAAUAUUUUGAAUUAUAAUAAAAAUAAUAAUACUAUAACAUGUUUAAUUCAAGAAAUAAAUAAUUAAUCAACUAGGUUGAAGAAUAUUAAUCGAUUAAGGAACUAGACUGCAAGAGUUUAAAUUCACAGGAAUGACUAAUAGGUUCAAUUCUACUCUAAAUGAGAAUUCUUUAUAGAUAAAACUAAUCAAGUCAUUUAGCGUAGUUAGAAAUUCACAUGAUUAUUAGUAAAUAAAAAAUUUAGUUUGUAUUAGGAUUCAAUAUAGCUCGUUAUCUUAUAUAGAUUACAUAUAUUUUUUAAUAUUAUGAUUAAAUUAAAAUAUUUUAAUCUCUAUAUAUAUAUGAUAAGGAGCUAUAUUGCAUCUUAAUACUAUAUAAACAAGCUCUUUGAGAUUCCUAACAAAGCUAUAUUGAAUCCUAAUACUAUAUAACUAAUCUCUAUGGUUCGGUAAAAUCAAAUUUAAUUUUUUUAAUUUUUUUUAUUGAAUUCCUUGUGGCUAAUGUCAUAACCCAAUUUUUGACCCUUUUAUUUUAAUUAUUUUAUUUACUGAAAAAAUAAUGAAAAACAAGUAAAAAUAGAAUAAAUAAAGAAUGAAUUAAAAUUUGGGUUAAGGGCAACAUCAUAACAUCAUUGGAAGUUUAAAGAUUUAAUUAAAUUUAUGACUAGUUUAAUUAAUCAAAUCAAGGGUUUAAUUGGAGAGGUGAUAAGUUUUGAGACUUAAUUAAGCUUAGAAUUAAUUUAAUUAAUCCAAUCAAGGGUUUAAUUGAAAAAUUAUCAAAGUAUAAGGCUGAUUCUGGUAAAGUUUGCAAGAAAUUAACAUCCAGGGACUGUUUUGUAAAAUUCACUGAAAUACAGGGGUCCAAUUAAAGUUUAUCCAAGGGCUUAAUGAAAAAAACUUUCAAAACGUCAAGGACCAAAACGCAAAAUAACCUUAACACUGUUCAUCUUCUUCACCCGAAAAAAAGAAAACUGCUGCCUUUACUCCUGCAUUAAAGACAGAGAGCACGGGACCGCAUGGCAUUCUAAGGGAGGAUAAAACCAGGAAAAAACGGCUGGAGGAGAGGAGACAGAACCAAGGGGCCAAGGGGAGAGAAACAGAACCAGGGAAGAUUUUGGUCCAUCAACCAGCAGCUCCUCGUGCUUUUACCACCAUCGUCUACAUCUUGAACGUAGAAGACUAGGCAGAGAAACAGGGGGGCAGACUAAAAAACUGGGGAAACAGAGAGACAAAGAGACUGGGAAUGAAAAAAAACAAUGAGGGGCUGACUGGAGAAAGCUUCAAUAGAGAGAGCAACGAGAACCAGAGGCAAAAAAAAAAAAACCAGGAGGCAGAGAAAGAAAAAGGAAAAGACGCAGGGGAAUGGGGACGAGGAAGACGAAAACGGGUUAGACAUAGAGAAGAUAAAACACAGGGCAUAAAACGCAAGAGAAGAACCCCUAUCUCCUCCCUCUGUUCAGAACUCCAUCACCAUCACCAUCGACCAUUGUCUUCGUCUUCGUCUUCCAAUAAUAGCACAAGCAGCAGCAUAGGAAAGAAGGACUCGAGAAGACACAGAAAAACAGAAACAGAGGAAGCAGCAGCAAUCGGGCAAGCCUCCGUCACCAUCAACCUCGUCUUCGCCUUCACCCCGCAGCUGCACCCGCCCCAACAGCUCUUUCCCCCAUCGUACUCUGGAGGCCAACGUCCACCAGCUCCUUAAUCGUGAGAGGUUUCUUCUCCGCUGUGAACAACAAGUUGAAUCGCCUGCCGGGAACAUCGUCUCCCUCAGCUUUGCCAGGUAAGUUCUUCAGCUUUCCUUCUUUAGGUAAAUUAAUUACCCUGCUACUGUUGCAUGCAUGCGUGAGUGAUUCACGCAUGCAUGCAACAGUGGCCAACCGAGUCACUGGUCUAAACCAGUGACCCAACCUUUUUUUUUAGACCAUGCUACAUAAAUAAAUAAAUAAAAUUGUUUCUUUUAAUAUAGAAUUUUACGGAUUUAUUUAUUAGCAUCAGAGUCAGGAAUACCGUACUUUUUGGGUUGCUCUAUAUUUAUCAACGUCAGAGUUGGAAAUAUUCAUAGGUGAAUAUUCACUGACGCCAAAGUCAAGAAUAAUAAUAUUGAUUUAAAUUAUUUUAUUUUUAUACUACGUAAUAUUUACCAAUGCCAGAGUUAGAAAUAUCCGUAGUUGAAUAUUCACUGGCGCAAGAGUCGGGAAUAUUAUAAGAAAAUAAUCAUAGCAUAAACUAAUAAACACUUAGCAAUUUAAGACGAAAUCAACAAUGCAUCUUGCCUCAAGCAGGAUGUUUAAGGGGUGAUAAUAUCUUUUCUUUUACGUAACCAGCCUCGAACCAUAUAAUCUCUGUUGACCAGUUAGGGUUCCUAGUGACCAUAAUACUAGGUGACUACUCUUUAAACAAAACAUUUUCUCCUAAAAGAACAAGAUCCCAGAAAUUUAUUCUUUUUCCAUAAUUCGAUCAUCAUUUUUAGGGACGCCGUGAUGUCGGGUGUAACAGCUAAUUUAAUGAGUUAUUAUUGAAAUUUGUAAUGGAAAAAAAUUUUUGGCAACAAAAAUUUUAAAUUUUAUUGAUUUUGCUUCUAAUUGAAUCUUUUUGUGGUAAAUUUAAUGAGUUAUUGGUUAAAUUUAUAAUAGAAAAGUAAACUUCAAAGAAAGAGAAAUUUGUAUGUAUAAUUCUUGAUUUAUUAUUUUAAAAACAUGUAUUAACUUUUUAGUUUACAAUUAAUUGUUUUCUAGAUAACCAAAAAAAAAUACAUUAACAAUAUCCACAAUUUUUUUUCUUGCAUUGAACAAUAAAAAAAUGCUCCAUCUCACAACGUUGAGCAAGUAGGCUAACACACACACACACACACAAGAAAUAUAGGGCAUGGAAAAAAUGCUAUAGCACUAGACACGAAUUACUAUUAAUGUAGUAGUGAAUAGAUGAUUUUUCCUUUCAUCAAAUUAGCUUAGAAGACUAAACUCCGGGGAAAAAAAUGAUUUUUUACAUGUUAUCCAUUUGUUAUUUUUGUUUUGAUUAGGGGUACAAUGAUAUUUUCCUUUUCUUUUUUGAUUAGUAAAAUACUUUCACUACCCUUAAAAGUAAAAAAAAAUAAAAAAAAUCAGAUAAUUAGUCUCCUGGUUGUUUUUUUUAAAAGAUUUUACAUUUUCUAGCACAAUGCAUUUUCUAAGAUAACCUUUCGAUAUAUAUAUAUAUAUAUUUUUUUUUUUUUUUUUUUCAAUCUCGUAACUUGAUGUUGAUUUUGAUUUUUAUUAGAAUAGGCUUUAUGGUUUUCUUUGUUUUUUUAUAGGGUUAUCUCGAUCUCAUGACGUAAUUUAUGAGUUUAACGGGUUAACCUAAGUGGGCUCGCAUCUUUUUAUUUUAGUUUUAAUUAUUUUUUUCUUUUGGAUUUUUUAUAUAAUUGAUUUUUUUUUAUCCUUCAAUAUUUGAUUUGUUAGGAGGUGAUCUUCAUUUUUUUUCCAUGUUAGUGUUUCCGGUCAAAUUGUCUGAGACAUAAGUUUUAUGGGUUAACACGGAUCAACAUUGUUUUUUUUUUUUUUUCAUGAUUCAACAUUGAUUUUUAUCAUUUGAUAUUAUUUUUUUCUCUUUCUUUAAAAUACAUUUGUGUUGACUGAACCUUAAAUGUUUUCUUAGUUUUUUUAUUCGACUUGCAGCAGAAUAUGGGUAGCGUGUAGAGAAUGAGACUGUGCUUGAAGAAAAGUACUCAAUUCCAAAUUUAUAAUUGUUGGAUAUUUUUUUUAAUUCUACCAUAACCGACAACUAUGUGAUGCGACCUGCCUACCUACUGAUUCAAAUUAACCAAGCUUCAUAUUUAUGUUUGAAUUGAUAGAUUAAUUAAUCCGCGAUUGACGAGGGAUAGGGAAAAAGAAAAACCAAACACAUACUUAGUAGAAAAUGAGAAAUGAUUGAAUGACACAAUUUCAAUUUGUGUGUUAACAUCAAUAUUCACAUGUGAAAUCGAUAAUAAUAUACUUAAAUAAGAAAAAAAAAACUAAAAUCAAUCAUGAAUAGUAUACCAACAAAAAUUGAAAAGUUUUAAUUAAUCAAGAAAAUCCAAAAGAAAUUGAUCAUAAGACCAAGUGUCAUGAUAUACAAAAAAAUAUGAUCGAUUGUAAGUAUUAAAAUUUAUAUGAAUGACUAGAAGGCUAAAUCCUACUCAGAGUUGGAAUCUCUUAUAAUUUAAAUUGACAAAGUUGUUUAGCUUAAAUAGGAAUUCACGUGAUUAUCAACAAAUGAAAGUUUAGCUUGUAUUAAAAAUUCAAUAUACAUUCUUAUCUUAUAUAUGUUACCAAUACAAUAUUAGAAUUAUAUACUUAGAUUAAACUUCUAACACUAUAUCCAUUAAAAUAGGGUCAUCCAACUACUAGAAAAAAUAGCUAGCCCCAUAAAUGUCAUUGCUUUUAUUUACAACUUUAUAUUUUUUUUUUGUUGCUUUCAAAUCAUUUUCUUGUUUACCUAUUGUUCUUCUCAUGUGAUGUUGCUUAGGAUAGAUAUGUAUUUUUUAAGAUUUAAAAUCUUGAAAUACCCACAAUUUAUUUAAUUUUAUGAGACUAUUACUUGUCUUUGCUUAUGUUCCUAGUUGUAGUUUCUUCUUAUUAGAAAGAAGAAAUUGAUAAUAGGUUACAUAAUUGAUCAGAAUAUUAAUAAUUAGUUAAUUAUGCUAUUUAAUAUGCCAUAUAGCCAGUUGGUUGGUUAGACAUAAUAUUAUUAUAUUCAUAUAAAUAUAUAUUUAUUAUCAAUAAAGACUUAAUGUAUCUUUAAUAUUCAUAUAAUAUAAGAUUAAUGAAUCUAGAGUAAAGAUAAAGUCUAUGAGAAAAAAUUAUUUUACAAAGAGAAUUAUAAAGUUGUUAUAAUUAUAGGAUUCCUAUUACAUCAAAACAUUAAUUCUAAAAUGUUCAUGGUUGAUACUCUCUUAAAUAUUGGACAUUCAUUAAAGCUGUAAAGAUUGAUACAUAUUAUGUUAUUUUCUUUAUGAAAGGAAGUACUUAUUCUCAUAAGUUAAGGUAUAAAUGAUACCUAUAACUAAUAGUAGUGACUGAGAAAUCCUUGGCCAAGGUGAAAUGAAAUUUGAAAAGAGUUUCAAAUCUUAUUCAAAUGAUCAAUGACUAUUAUGUAAAGAAUAAAUAUUAUUUAACAUGGUAGAUAUACUAUAUGCUUUAAUGUUAAAUUGAAAUAUUAUUGAUGAAAGGAUAUUAAUUACACUAAGAAAUCGAUCACUGAAAGGUUAAUUCAAAUCACUAAUGACUUUUCUAAUAUUUGGAGGAUCAUGACACGUUACAAGACGAUACACAUAAUCUUCAAAUAAAAAUUAAUCAAUUAUUGAAUUCAUAAUAAAUUAAAUUUUUUAAUUUAUUUAAUUAUAAUUAUAAUUUAUAUUUGGCGUAACAUAUUAGGAACCUAAUAGGACACACACAUUAAGAACCAUUAGUCAGAAAUUAAACUCGAAUGAUUUAAUUAAGUAUGACUUGAUUAAAAUAUAUUUUAGAAAUCAAGGACUAAAAUAUAGUUAAUACAUAGAUUAUAUUUCUAGACUUAAAAAAAUAAAGUACGGACUUAAUUGAGUUAAUUUCUUAAAUUAUCCUAAAUUAAUAUAUGAAAAUUUUUCAUGAGGCAAAUUGAUAUUUUAUCAAUUUAUAGAUUGUUUCAUAUUUCUCUAUAAAUAGUAAGUUAUGCCUCUUAUUUAGGGUAGUUGUCUGUUAGAAAGAAAAACUAUGUAAACAUAAUAAUAGAGUUAACACUCUAAGCAUAGUGUUUACUAAGAUGCGUCUUAAGAGUCACUUUAACAAAAUAACUCCUUUUACUCUGCCAUCCUAGUAACAACAGUUUUGCAAAUAGUUUAUGAAAUAGAAAACACAGUUUUUUUUUUUUUAACUACUACCCUUUCCCCCCAACCAAAAUGAGACAUUGUCCUCAAUGUCUUAAGGUAGAAAGAUAGAGUAUAGAAGACAUCACCUGAAAUAGCGAACACUGACAAACCUGAAACACACUUACACAAAUAUAAGAAACCACAAAACACAAUAAUAAAACCAAAAGACACAAAGUUUUUACAAACGAAGACUCAAAUCCAAUCUAAGCUUUUUACGGCUUUCCUUAGUUGACCAAUUUAGCGACUCAUGGAGGGAUCAAUUACAGGGAUGAAAGAUUGUAGUUGGUCAAUCAAUUGUUCAGCAGUAGCAGCAGAGAUUAUGAUUUGUCGUGCCGAAGAUGUUAGAAAUUCCUGUUCCACAGCUUGAUCAAGGAAAGACAACAACUUAUCAUAAAAACCAUUAACAUUUAACAAACCUAUGGGUUUAUGGUGAAUGUGCAGUUGGGCCCAAAGGAAAUAUGAAAGAUCUCUUCCAAUGUGCCCAGACCACCUGGUAAGGCAAUGAAGGCAUCAGCAUGGUUAAACAUGGUAUUCAGUCGAUCAGACAUUGUGGGACUGUAUUCCUCUCCAAUUGUUUUUCCAAUGAUGUCCCCUUGUGCUAAAGCUUUGGGGACAACCCCCAAAACUUGACUGCCUCCUAAAAAUGCAGCCAUUGACACUCCCAUUAACCCAAGGCUGCCUCCCCAUACACUAAAUGAAUCUUUCGCUCAGCUAGUACCGACCAAGAUGAUUUGCUGAUUCUAAAAACUCUUUUUCUUUCCCAGGACUGGAUCCACCAAAAACACAAAUUUUUUAUGUGAUGACUUGAGGAACCUGCCAUUUCUACACACUAUAUUUGAUGAAUGUAUGGGUUGAGUAGAAAUGAAGGGAAGGAAGAGAAGAAUUUAUAGAUGAGAAAUUGAAAAUGCAAUCAUACCACCUAUAUGUAGGCCAGCUGUAGUCUCACAAACUCUCUCUCUCUCUCUCUCUCUUUAUUAAUUAUUUAUUUUGAAAAAGCAUGUAUGUACAGGUAGUUGUGAUUGUGGCUCACAUCUUCCCUUGGUUUUACGUCCAAGAACGGCUUAAACGCCCUCUAUGGGUCGGGGAUAGGCUUCCCAUCCAGUUUUCUUAAAAACUGGCAAACAGGGUCUUUUUUAGUCAGAUUCCCAAGACUAAGUCGAUCAUGUUCUUUAUGGAAUUGUGGCCAUAAAUCAUGAAUUACACGAUGCACAUCUCCACUAGGAUGCGUCUCAAGUCAAAAAAAGAUUAUCUAAAGACCCCUUACUCAGGCCAUCCUUAAUGAAUUGUAUCUUAUCUUCACGGUUUACAGAUACCAUUCCUAAAGAACGACAUGUCGCAUUACAAGUCCAUCUGGCACAUCUGUGACAGACUUUCAGUCGUUUUGCACGACGUUUCUUUGCAAAAGUGCUUUUACCUGUUCCAGGCAUGUGUGAAAUGAAAGAAUUGGAGGACUCACCUGAUAAUCGGACCUUUGCUUCAAUUAGCCAGCGAAUAUCUUCAGGAAUUCCAUGAUUCAUUAACAACCUCAAUCUUGCACACCUAGCACGGUAAAUUUUGUAAUCGCAUUUGAGGCAGAGCGGGAAAAUACUUUUCAACUUUUCAAGAGUGGUGUCCAUUUUCAAAGAGAAUUGGGAGAGAUUCAAAGAAGGAGAAAGAGCAAGAAUUGCACAAAUAUACACAGAUAUCAGUUAUUUGGGAAACUGAAAGAACCGACUUAAGUCACGGAGUACCGUUAUCCGCCAUUUGACCGGGGUGAGAGAGACUAGCAAAACAAAAGUCACACAAAAACAAUGUGAGAAAAAGAAUCAAUCUUUAUAUACAGGAUCACUCAAUUCAAUAGAGUCAUUUUCAACUGAAAAAUUGUCAAAAUAAACUUUCAAACGAUGCCCAUUUACCUUGAAAACAUUGCCAUUCUUUGGAUUUCAAUAUCACAGGCCCCAUAUGGAUACACAUGUUUCACAAUAAAAGGACCGCUCCAUCUUGAUCUUAGUUUUCCAGGAAAUAAAUGGAGUCGAGAAUUAUAAAGCAAGACUUUUUGACCAACAUUGAAUGUUUUUCUCAGUAUUUUCUUGUCAUGAAACUCUUUGAUUCUUGCUUUAUGAAUUCUUGAAUUGUCAUAUGCAUCAUUUCUUAUUUCCUCAAGCUCAUUUAUUUGCAAUUUUCGCAGCUGACUAGCAUCAUCAAGGUUUGAAUUGAAAGCUUUAAUAGCCCAAUAAGCUUUAUGUUCAAUUUCCACAGGCAAGUGACAAGGUUUUCCAUAGACUAGUCUAUAAGGUGACAUACCUAAUGAUGUUUUAUAAGCAGUUCGAUAAGCCCAAAGUGCAUCAUUAAGUCUUAAAGACCAGUCUUUCCUAUUAGGGUUCACUGUUUUCUCCAAGAUCUGUUUGAUCUCCCUAUUAGCAAGUUCUACUUGUCCACUUGUCUGAGGGUGAUAAGGGGUGGCAACUUUGUGUGAUUCCAUAUUUCUUCAUUAAAGACUCAAAUGGCUUGUUGCAGAAAUGUGUUCCACCAUCACUUAUCAUGGCUCGAGGGAUUCCAAAUCGACUUAAAAUGUUUUCUUUCAAAAACUUUAUCACUGUUUUGUGAUCAUUGGUUCGACUUGGAAUUGCCUCUAUCCAUUUUGAAACAUAAUCUACUGCGACCAAUAUGUACAAGAAACCAAAUGAUGGAGGAAAUGGACCCAUAAAAUCUAUACCCCAAAUCAAAGAUCUCAAUGACAAGAAUAGGAUUUAAAGGCAUCAUGUGACGUUUUGAAAUAGAUCCCAACUUUUGACAAUUUUCACAAGUCUUGCAGAAUGCAUGUGAGUCUUUGAACAUGGUGGGCCAGUAAAAUCCACUUUGUAAGAUUUUUGCAGUUGUCUUUCUUGAUGAGAAAUGACCCCCACAUGCCUCAGAAUGACAAAAUUUAAUGACACUACUUACCUCAUUGUCAGGAAUGCAUCUUCGAAAUAUUUGAUCAGGACAAUAUUUGAAUAAAUAAGGGUCAUCCCAAUAAAAGUUCUUCACUUCGUUCAAGAACUUUCUUUUGUCUUGGGUACUCCAAUGAGCUGGCAAUUGUCCUGAAACAAGAAAAUUAACAAUAUUAGCAAACCAAGGCAUCGUAGAGACAGAAAAUAAAGAUUCAUCAGGAAAGUAGUCAUCGAUUGGUGUGAUGUCAGAUCUCGAAUCGGUUGUCAAUCUUGACAAAUGAUCCGCGACAACAUUUUCGGUGCCUUUCUUGUCUUUGAUUGUGAUAUCAAAUUCUUGAAGUAACAAAAUCCACCGCACCAAUCUAGCCUUAGAAUCUUUCUUAGAGAGAAGAUAUUUCAAUGCUGCAUGAUCACUAAAAACAACAACAGGUGAGCCAACAAGAUAAGAUCUGAACUUGUCACAUGCAAAUACUACUGCAAGUAAUUCUUUUUCAGUGGUAGUGUAAUUCAUUUGAGCACUAUUUAAAGUUUUACUUGCAUAGUAAAUCACAUAAGGUUUCUUAUCUUUUCUUUGUCCCAAGACAGCACCCACGGCAUAAUCACUAGCGUCACACAUUAUUUCAAAAGGUAAUGACCAAUCAGGAGGUUGAAUGACAGGAGCAGAAGUAAGCAAGCUUUUAAGUUUAACAAAGGCUUUUCACAAUGUUCAGUCCAUUCAAAAACAUUUAUCCUUUGUUAGAAGGUUACACAAUGGCUUAGAUAUUACACUAAAAUCUUUGAUGAACCUUCUGUAAAAACCAGCAUGUCCUAAGAAUGAUCUAACAUCUUUAACAGAUUUUGGUGUUGGUAAGUUGGCAAUUAACUCGAUUUUAGAUUUGUCAACCUCAAUUCCUUUCGAUGAAACAAUGUGACCAAGUACAAUGCCGUUUGUUACCAUAAAGUGACAUUUUUCCCAAUUCAGUACAAGAUUCUUCUCUUCACACCUGUUCAAAACCUUUUCAAGUUAGUUAAACAAUCAUCAAAUGAAUCACCAAAAACAGAAAAAUCAUCCAUAAAAAUCUCAAGAAAACGUUCAACCAUAUCACUGAAUAUGCUAAGCAUGCAUCUUUGAAACGUGGCUGGUGCAUUACAUAAUCCAAAAGGCAUCCUUCGAUAUGCAAAAGUACCAAAUGGACAUGUGAAAGUAGUCUUCUCUUGAUCUUCCAAUGCAAUUUCAAUUUGAUUGUAACCUGAAUAGCCAUCUAGGAAACAAUAAAAUUCAUGACCUGCAACUCUUUCUAGGAUUUGAUCCAUGAAAGGUAAAGGGAAAUGAUCUUUUCUAGUCAUUGAAUUAAGUUUCCUAUAGUCAAUGCACAUGCGCCAACCAGUAAUAGUCCUAGUUGGAAUUAACUCAUUUUUCUCAUUUGUUAUCACAGUGACUCCAGACUUUUUGGGUACAACUUGGGUAGGACUUACCCAUUUGCUGUCAGAAAUAGGAUAAAUGAUUCCAUUAUCUAGAAGCUUAAUGACUUCAUUUUUCACUACUUCUUUCAUAUUAGGAUUAAGCCUUCGUUGCAUUUCUCUAGAUGGUUUAGCAUUUUCCUCCAAAUAAAUCUGUGUGUGCAAAUCAAAGGGCUAAUUCCUUUUAUGUCAGCUAUGGUCCAUCCUAAUGCAUUUUUGUGCAUUUUCAGAGUUUGUAAUAACUUACCUUCUUGAUGUGCAUUAAGUUUGGAAGAGAUUAUUACCGGAAAAGUUUCAUUUUCUCCCAAAAAUGAGUGUUUGAGAUUGACUAGUAACGACUUCAAAUCAAGUUUUGGUGGUUGAACACUUGAAGGUAUAGACUCAAUUGAUCGUGAUGGCAAUUCUUCAAUUUGUGGUCUCCAAUUACAUGCUAUUGCUUCUUCCUGAAAAUAAACCAUUUGCAACUCGUCAGGUUCAUCAAUCUGUUUAAUAGCAUCCAACAAAGGUAUAUUGAUCCUUACCUGUUUGAAAAUUUCAAGGAUUUCAGAAUUGUGAUUGACUUUCCUUUGUUUGGUCAUGGCAUGAGGAAAUGGAAGUGCUGGCGGAGAAUCAGUGUUUUCUUCAAAACGUUCAAAUUCAACCCCUUCCUUACCCUCAAAGAUUGACUCAUCAUCUUUCUCACAAGGUUCAAGAGUGGGUUUUUCAAUAACCUUACCACUGCGAAGAGUGAUGACUGAUUUGACUUGAUCCAUGUGUUGGCUUUCGGAACUACUUGCAUUUGUAUUGUAUUGCCCCUUUGGAUUUUGCUGUGGUUGAGAUGGAAACUUACCUUUCUCUUGAAAACUGAGAGCAGAUGUGAAUUUUACAAGAGCAUCUUUAAAAUUUGUCAUGCUUUGAGUAAGUUGACUGUUGAUUGUCUCUUGCUUUUCAAUGAAUGCAUGCAAUGUUUCCUCAAGAUUUCUUCUAGGAGGUGGAGCAUAAGGAGGUGCAUAUCCAUGAGAAUUUUGGAAAUUAUGGUGUGCUUGAAACGAUGGCUGUGAAGUUUGUGCAUUAUUGUUAUCACUCUUCCAACUGAAAUUUAGGUGAUUUCUCCAACCAGGAUUGUAUGUUUGCGAGUAUGGGUUAUGAUUGGGCCUUUGGAAACUGUUUAAGGCAUGGGCUUGUUCAUGGAGACAUUCCUUGAAAGAAGGCAAAGUUGGACAGUUAUUGGUUGCAUGUUCAUUUGUUUAACAGAUUUGACACACAAUGUCUUGAACAGAUUUUAAUUGACCACUCUUUUUCAAUUCUACUGCCUCGACUUUUCUAGCUAAAGAUGUAAACUUGGCUUGGAGGUCAUGAUCUUCCCUAAGGUUAUACAUACCUCCACUAGAUGUAUGAGGUUGGGUUUUACUUGGUGCCUCAUAAGUGCCCUUAAUGUCCCAAUUUUGCGCAUUUUCAGCUAGCAAGUCUAGGUACUCCAUUGCUUCAUUAGGGUCUUUAUCUUCAAAAGUUCCAUUGCACAUCAAUUCAACCAUGUGCCUAUCUUUAGGUGUUAAUCCUUCAUAAAAUUGUGAAACCAAUCUCCAUGUUUCAAAACCAUGAUGAGGGCAAGUAUUAAGCAAGUCUCGAUACCUAUCCCAACAUUGGUAAAAUGUUUCACUUGGUUUUUGAGUGAAAAUAGUGAUUUGUCUUUUGAAAGAGUUGGUUCUGUGAGAUGGAAAUUUUUUUUUAAAAAAUUGUUGUUGCAUUUCAUCCCAAGCACGAAUGGAUCCUGACCUAAGAUUUUGUAGCCAUGUUUUAGCUUUAUCUUUUAAUGAAAAAGGAAAAAGCUUUAAUCUAAUGGUAUUCAUGCUACAAUUUAAAUCAUUAUAGGUGUUACAAACUUCUUUAAAUUCUCUCAAAUGCAAGUAUGGAUUUUCUAGAUCUAAGCCAUGAAAAGAAGGUAAAAGUUGAAUAAUGUCUGGCUUAAAAUUAAAAUGAGAUGUAUCAGGAGGGAAAACUAUGCAUGAGGGUGCACUUGUUCUUGUGGGAUUCAUGUGGUCUCUAAGUGUCCUAACACGGUUAUUCUCAUUAUGAAGUGACUGGUUAUCUUCUUCGGUCAUAUUUUCUGAAAAUGAUGAGGAUACCCUAGAAAGUCUACCACUUAAUGUACGUGACCAAACACUCAUGCACGUGUAGAAAGAGAAUAAAAGGAAGAAGAAAACAAAAGAAAAAGAAACAACACAAAAGAAACAAAGUUAGAUACAAGAAAAGUGAAAAGAAAGAAGAAAAAAAACUAAAAUUUGUACAAGAAUUUACCUCCCCGGCAACGGCGCCAAAAACUUGACACGACCAAAAGAUUGAUGUCUUCUCCCAAGUGCAGGAGUGUCGAAGUAAUAAAUAACCCGGCAAGAUCGGGGUCGAACCAUAGAGAGGUUAAUUGUAUAAAUUAUAAAUAACAAGACAACAACAACAACAAUAAUAACAAAAAUAACAACAACAACAAUAAUAAUAAUAAUAAUAGUAAUAGUAAUAAUAAUAUUAAUAAUAGUAAUAGUAAUAAUAAUAUUAAUAGUAGUAAUAAUAAUAAUAAUAAUAAUAAUAAUAGUAGUAGUAAUAAUAAUAUUAAUAGUAAUAAUAAUAAUAAUUAUUAUAAUAUUCAGUACGUGACGUUGUUAUACCUGAGAAUGAUCUAAAAGAUCGGGUCACAGGUUUCCAGCCUAUAUACUGAGUUUAUGAAAAAAAAUCAAAGAGAUAUAUUAUAUAAUAUAAACAGAUUUCUUAUGUGAAUGAACAAGGCAAGAUCAACAAUAUCAGGAUCCUUGAUCAAACACAGAGCAUACUUAACGUACAUAAAAUAUAACAAGAAUGUAAAUAAUAAUACUAAUAAUAUUAGUAAUAAUAAUAAUAAUAAUAAUAAAAAAAAAAGUAGGAAGAAAUAAAUGAGAACUUUGAGAUGGACGAUUAAUGUAAGGAUUAAACAAUAAUAAAGACAAAUGUCAAGGUUAGAGGACCCACCAAUGGUAUUUCAAACAAGUAUAGUAUAAACUCUUAUUACUCAAUUUGGAAAAAAACCACACACGAAGGAGGUUCCAGUCGGAUGAUUUGUCAUUAAUAGCUCAUUAUAAAUUAUUAACAUUAUCAUAUUAAUUAUCUUAUUUACAUAACACCAAACUUUUAAAUAUUGCCAGGAAUUCAUGAUGUUAACUGAUGUUAACAACAAAUCAAGUACCUUUCAUAGCUCAGGUGUAGGUAAUACUAUACGGUUGGGCUAUGAGAGUGCCAAGCAUUUGUUGUACCAAGUAUUAUACAACACAAAUUUAGAUUAACCAUUUAACAAGCAAGGUAUUAAGAAUUAGUAAGAUAAAAAGAUAAGACAUGUUAAUAUUAAACAUUAAGGUCCAUGUUGAGUUUACACCAUACUUGUUCUUACACCAUUAGUGUAACCUUUUCACCUUGACAUAAUAAACUUAGCUAAACAUAAUGAAGAAGAAAACAUAAAUAAACAAAACAAGAACAUAAAUAAAAUACAAGUUAACUAAGGAAAGGAAAGGAAAUGAAAAGCAUAAACAAGAAAUUAACAAAAGCAAAACUUAAGAAUUCAAAAAAUAUAAAGAGAGAAAUAAAGAGCAUGAACUUGAUCUGAACAACCAAGCCCUAAAUUACAUGGCAAAUGCCUCCUUUUAUAGGCCAAAAUUCGGAAUUAUUGAUUUGAUGACUAAUUGUUGAGUGGGUAGACAUCUUUUGACUAGGUGAAAAUCCUUAUCUUCUUGUCUUAAUAAAACAAAAAUGCUAACAUCAGAACGGGGUCCAGAUGUCCAAAUGAAAGUUCUAGGAAACUCUCUUAGCUUUCCAGGAAAAAAACGAUGAGGUCAUUUAGACUUCUAGAACUCAAGAUAUGGGCUGAACACUGAACAGUGUUGGGCUGUAGGAUAGAUUCAGACUUCUUCGUUGUUGCUAUAAUUUGGACUUGAAAACGGCCUUCUUAGAUCUUGAUGUCCAAAUAAAAGUUGUAGGCCUAUGUCUUAUCAAAUCUCUGUAAAAAGUUCAGAUCAUUUGGAUAUCUAGAACUCGAGAUAUGGGCUGAACACUGAAUAGUGUUGGGCUGCAGGACAGAUUCGGACUUCUCCUUUCUAAGCUUCACCUUUUUUUAUCUUCAAAAUUUCAGUAGUUGUAUGCAUCAAUCAAUCCUUUGAUUUAUGUGAUAUGCCUGCAUUUAAGAUGAACAUUUACCAUAUAUUAGGGUAUUUUAUAGUAUUAGACUUGUUAUUAUAAAACAUGCUUUAGUUAAGGAGUUAUUGAUACUUUAAGUGCAAAAUGAUGAUAGAAACCCUUGAUAAACAUGCACUUUUAAGUACUAAUUGUUGUAACCCAUUUUUAGGUUCCUAAAUAAAUCAAAUAAAAUAAAUAACCAAAGGAGGUUAGAAAAAUAACAGGAGGCAGAAGCGCUCAACAAAUGGUCAGAAAAAUCGGUCAAGGAGGUUAAAAAUACAAAGAUGGAUUUUUGACAAUAUAUUAUUGAAUGAUGAGAGCCCUAUUAAGAAGGAAAUUUUAAUUUUUAGGAGAAAAGCCCAAAUUUGGAUGUUUAUGGACUUAAUUGGAUUUUUAAUUGAAUUUAUAGAGGAUUUGAGUGCAAAACAAAUUGAUUUUUAAGUCAAUUUGGGCUUUAAUUAGAAGAAAUUUAAGUUCUGGGGCCAAAAUAUAUUUUUUAGGAAUUUAUUGGGUCAAAUCAGGGGCUUAAUUGCAUAAAUAUUGAAGUUUAAUGGCCAAUUAGGGGCUUAAUGUGAAAAUCCGAAACCAGGGACCAAAUUGGAAGAGGCGCGUAAAUGGAGGGGCUGAAAUUAUUCGGUUCAGGGGCCUAAUUGAAGAAAUUGGAAGUUUAUUAAUAAAUUGAGGGCUUAAUUGCACAAAUCAGAGGCCAAGGAUUAAAAUGAAAAACGCGGCAAACUUGAGGGGUGGAGACAAAAAUUGAAAAGGAUGCAAUUGAAAAGAACAAAAAUCAAUUGAGGACUGAUUUGGAAAACAUAUUCUGGUGCCAUUUUUUUAAAUGAAACGGCGCGUUUUAUCCAAAAUGACGCCGUUUCAUACAAAAAAAAAAAGGACCGAACGGUGCCGUUUUGAACGGCACUGUUCCUCUUCCUUCUUCCUCCCUGCAAGCGUUACAGGGGAAGAAAAAAAAUGGUUUUUUUCUUUAAACUUGUCACUCUCUCUCCUCGCGCCCACCAACCCGAUGCCCUACGCCUUGGACCACCGAAACCGAAGCUACUGGCCGACCGGCCGCUCGCCCCGCCGAAAGCAAGGGAGCGGCGCCUUGCUGUCGCGGGUGGUGGCCGACCAGCCGCCCGCGAAACCCGCUCCCCAGGCGCACUAAUGAAGGGCCCAACACACUUUCUCUCCUAUAAAUAGAGAAAGAAACCGAAGGGAGGAGAGGGAGAGGAGACCGAAGAGAGAGAAAGAACUAACGAAAUAGAGGGAGAGCAGCAACAAACCGAAAACAAAUAAACCGAAACCGAAAACCGAAAACCAAAAACAAACCGAAGCGGAGAAAGCCACUGAGAACGGAAGAAAAAAGAAAGAAAGGGGAAGAGGAAGAAACUUCUCACCGCCGUUAGGAUACACAGCGACACCGCCCGGAGCCGCCGCCCACGAGCCACGCCACCGCAGCACCGCCAGCGACCGCCUCCUCCACGCCAGGUAAAUUUUCUUCUUCUCCUUCGUUUGCAGGCGUUGCCUCCUGCAUGUAGAGUUAUGCAUGCAGGAGGCGGGGGGGGGGAAGAAAAUUAAUUCUUCCCCCCUGCUGGGUUGUUGACGCUGGGCCAGCCUGAUGCUGGCCCAGCCCCUGCACGUCUGGGCCGGUCCUGGCUCAGACUGAAGAAGAAUUUUUGGUUGGGUCGAGUUCGGCCCAACCUUUCCUUGUUGGGCUGAGUCCGGCCCGUUUAUUUGGGCCGGCCCAGCCUGAAUUAUUUUUAUAUUAUAUAUUAUAUAAUAUGUUAUAAUAUAUAUGUAUAUAUAUAAAAAUAUAUAAUAAUUAAAAAAUAUAUAUUUUGAAAAAUCUUAAAAAAUAUUGUUGAUUUUUCCGCCUAUUUUUGUCAAAGUGGUUCAAUGUUGGUUUGUAUUUUUAUACCGUAAAGAUACAAAACCAGUGUUAAAAAUACCCGGUUUUCGUCAAAAUAUCAAAGAUUUUCAGAAUAAAAAAUGUUUUUGCUUAAAAAAAAAAAUUCUAAAAAGUCCCUAAAAAUGUUGUUGAUUUUUCUGCAUAUUUUUAUCAAAGUGGAUUAAUAUUGGGUUGUAUUUUUAUACCUUAAGGAUACAAGCUCAGUAUUAAAAUACCUGAUUUUCGUCAAAAGCAUAAAAAAUAAUAUUUUCCAAAAAAAAUUGUUUUUGUUUAAAAAAACGGCCUAGUCUCUCCAAUAUAUAUAUAUAAAUAUUAUAACAUCAUAUUUUCACACAACAAAGAAAAUUUUCAAAACAAUAUAUGUAUUAGCAUGCAUUUUGGCUUUAAUAACCAGUUUAUUCAAGCCAUGAGAACUAGGCCAAUAUUUCAAAAAUUAAAAAAAAAUCUUUUUUGUUUUCUUUUAGUAUUUGGGAUUACGAAUUUAUACGUAAAACGUAUUUCUAAGUAUUGUUAAUAAAGUUUUAGUAUAGACGUUAGAACGGUUAUGAUUUUACCCGAAAAGAUAAAACCUUUCUUACCGAAGAGGAUUUUUCUUGAACCAUAGAUAGAACAACAACUAGGAAAACACGAAAAUAUCUUAGAUUUUAUCAGACAAUAAAACAAUGCAGCUUAGCUUAGGUAGGGCGUAUUUGGGGUGCUAAUACUUUCCCUUUACGCAACCAGUCCCCGUACCCGAUCUUUGAGACCAAUUAGGGUUCCUAGUGACCAAAAUACUAGGUGGCGACUCCCAUUCCAUUUUCUACCAAUAAAAGACAAUAUUUUUUUGUAUCCCUAUAGAUAUAUAUAGAUUUACAUGGUAGAUUAAGAAAAUGGAAACAACUAUAUAAUUUUCGCCGCGACGCCGCACACGUGCGACACUAAUCACAUAGUGAUCCCUUUCUUCUAAAUAAGAAUUUAGAAGAUUUUUCAUAAAUGGUUUGUGUGGAUUACCAUUGAAGGUCGGACAAUAAAACGGCGUGUGAUUUGUGAUAACCUGGCGUUUAAGAAAUUAUUCAAAAUCGAAAAAAAGAUUUUCAAGUAACAAAUCUCUAAGCAAUUCUAGAUCUAUCUAACAAGAUCUUAGAGACUCUAAAAUAAUUUUUUUUCACAAUUUCCAUUAUAUAUAUGAUAUUCAGGAGCCCAAAGGAUUAAUCAACUAUCAAUAGCAUAAUUGUUAAUAGAUUAAUAAUAUGCAAUUGUAAAUACACCGCAUUACUAAAUGCUGCCACGUUUGAUUUAAAAUUGGAGAAGUUUUUAAAAUUUUGAGUAGUACUUUAAGAUCAUUGGAAAAUGGCUAUAAAAUACAAUGCCAGAAUAACAAUAGCAAAUUCAUUUCCUUUUCAUUUUUAACCUCCAUCUCUACCAUUUUACACAAUAAAUUAACUUUGAAAAUCAACCUACAUGAUCAAUUCAAAUCCUAUAACAAACAAUACUUGCUUCAAACUAUCUUAAAAUUUCAUCCUUAAGUCAUAACAAUUAACAUGGACAAAAUGGAUUAAAGCCCAAGAGCAUUAAAUGCAGCAAAUGUUGGAAACAUGCUAUUGUUAAGAUAUUAGAUGUUGAGCGUGGUGAAAACAAGCUUUUUUACUAGUGUAAUUACAAUUCUUGUAAUAAAAUAUUAAUUUAUUAGUAAAAUCUUUGUAGCGGGGCAUUGCGUUGACGAGAGGUCUGCCUCCUAUGAGUAUGUAUUGGAAAGGGAUUUGGGUAUAAUCAUAAAAUUAUUAUUAUAAAAUUCAGGAAUUACCACUUAGUAUUAUAGUUACCAGAAAACUUAUGAUCUGUGAGAGUCUAGGUAAAAGACUAGUUGUGCAAGAGAAAGAUACAUCACCCCCAGUACAUCCUACCUAAGGUAAGUUACAUUGUUAUUUAAUUAUUUUUCUAGGUCGUUUUCUAUCUAUUGGUCUUGUAUUGGGUUUCCUAGUAGCCUGCAAUCAAUUACUAGGUGGCGACUCCAACGAACCAAUCAAAUCAAAGCAAAACGAGAAACGAAAAGUCGUCAAGCCCGAUGCCGCGCGGAUUUUCCGACGUGCGACAUUGUCUAUGGUUCAAGGUAGAUCUACCUACGUGAGGAAAUCUCUUCCAUAUCGGGUUAAAACCUAACUAUUCUAAAACCCAAAUUUUAGUAUCACAUUUAUUUCUUUGUAUCUUUAAUACUUAAGGGAAACUCUACUGUAUAGUUCUACACCUCCAAAUAUUAAAAUUUACAGCUAAACCUUAACAUUUUAAAUAUAAAGUGAACAAAAUGAUUGGUGAAAGGUUUUUUAUAUUUUUGCCAAACCCUAACGCAUAAUCAUGAAUUAGUUACAAUAACUAUUUUUGCAUUUUAGAACAUGAGAAAGAUACUUUUAUAUAUAUAUAUAUAUAUAUAUAUAUAAAGUGUGCAUAGAAAAAUUUUAAGGUUUGGUCAUACGGACGAAAAUAAAAUAUUUUUUAUUUUUUUAAAGAGGAAAUUAAUUUAAUUUUUUUUGUUGAAUUUUUUAAAUUUUCAAAAAAAAAUCAGAAAGGUUGUGGAGGAAACCAGAUAUUUUAAUAUCAGAUUUGUAUUUUACAAUGUUAUUAUACAACCCAAUAUUAUACAAAAUUAUUAGAAAAACAUGAGAAAAUCACAAAUAUUUUGAAAUGACCCUAGAUUUUUUUUUAAUUAUUAUUAAAUUUAAGUUGGGCUAGACUUGAAAUAGAUCCAUCCCGACUUAGUUAGGUUAGGUCGAGUAGCGGCCCAACAAACCCUUUCUCUUUUUUGUUAGUGGAUCAGACCCGACCUAGCUAUUUAAGUUGUUCAGUCAGACCUAUAUUAAUGGUAUUUUUUUCAUUUGCAUGUAUAAGAAAUUCUGCAUGCAAAUGAUUAUGAAGGUUUUGAAGGAGAAAAAAAAGAGGCAAACUUUCUUGGUUGUAGGAGAAGAGAGGUUGGUGGCGUUCCUAAACAUCCAAGGUACAUAUUUAAUAGAGAGCAUGGUAAUACUUUAAUAAUAUAUAUAUAUAUAUAUAUAUAUAUAUAUAUAUAUAUAUAUAUAUAUAUAUGCGCGCGCGCCUGUAGAAAAUAAAUAAAUUAAUUGAUAUUUGUAUUUUUUUUGUAAGUGAUUUCAUGAUGUUUGGGUUGGUAGGUUGUUUAAGGAAGUUUUUAUGGUUUAUUUGUAGUUUUUGGUAAAAAAAAAAAAAAAAGAUAAAAAAUAGAUUUUUAAGCCAACUUUCCUUCAAAUUUUUAGGCCAUCGGAUUUUAGACAACAACUACUAGUAGGCAACAGGGUCUGAAUUUUCAACUUCGAAUCUCGCAACAGAGCAAGUAAUUAAGAAACAAGGAGAGUGAAGAUGGCGAGAAAAGUUGCAGUCCGCCAAUUGUGGGGAUGGUGAUGGCAGAGUGUGCACAAGCUGGGUGUAUAAUAUUAGGCAAAGCAGCCAUGUCAAAUGGCAUGAUAUUUUUUUUUUGUAUGAAGAAAUUUGCACCAUAAAUAGAAGAUAAUAAAUAAAAAACGAAUCUAUAUAAAAACAUACAUCAAAAUGGAUUAAUUGAGGACAUUAAUACAGUGUGUUCCACCUUAUCUUCUUGAAUCAAUCAUAACCACUGAAAAUGAGGUGAUAUAAAGAUACCAACGAAUCUAUAGGAAAACAUCACCAUCUCUCGUGAAAAAAAAAAAAAAAACAAUGUUUAAAACAUGUUGCAUGAUCUCAAAUAUUCCUCUUUUUUUGUAUGAAGAAUUUUGCACCAUAAAUAAAAGAUAAUAAAAAGACCGACGAAUCUAUAGAAAAACAUAUGUCAAAAUGGAUUAAUUGAGGACAUUAAUAUAUACUUGAAGAGCUAACUUGACAACCAAAUAAUAUAUUUAUCAACGUAAAUUGUGCUAAAGCAAUAUCACUAUAUAUAACUUGCUAGUUGGUUUUAUUUUUCACAAAAAAAAUCAUUCUAUACCACAAUGGCUUCAUCACCCUCUUCUCUAGUUUUCAAAGUUCACAGACGUGAACCAGAGCUGAUCAAACCAGCGAAGCCGACCCCACAUGAGUUCAAACUGUUAUCCGACAUUGAUGACGAAGAAGGGCUUCGAUUCCACAUUCCACUCAUACAAUUCUAUCGCCACAAUCCCUCAGUGCACGGGAAAGACCCCGUCAAGGUCAUCAGAGAGGCAAUUGCUAAGACAUUAGUGUUUUACUAUCCAUUUGCCGGUAGGCUGAGGGAAGGGCAUAACCGCAAGCUCAUGGUGGAAUGCACUGGCGAGGGUAUCUUGUUUAUAGAGGCUGACGCUGAUGUUACACUUGAGCAGUUUGGUGAUCCACUUCAACCUCCAUUUCCUUGCUUGGAGGACCUCCUCUUCGAUGUGCCUGGCUCUAGCGGGGUGCUACACUGCCCUCUGUUACUUAUUCAGGUAAUUUUUCUGUAUUUUUUUCCCGCAGUUGUUAUGGUUACUAUAAAAUUACUUUCAAAAUUUUAUUAAAACAAUGAUCUCAUAAUUUUAAUUUCAAAUCGUAAUCUUUCUUGUUAGUGCAAGUUGAGGAGGAAAAAGUCACAUCAUAUAUGUUAUAUAUAUUAGGUUUAAAAUUAUGUUCCUGCUUUGUUGUGUUGAUGAUCUAAAAAUUCCAAUCCACUAGUCAAAUAGGCAUAAUUCGCUAAUACAUCCACUCAUGAAAUCAUCUAACAAUCAUCUACGUAUUUGCUGUCUAAUUUAUUAUGCAAAUUGGCAGGUGUCACGGCUCAAGUGUGGUGGUUUUCUCUUUGCUCUCCGCCUCAACCAUACCAUGAGUGAUGGCCAAGGAUUAGUGCAAUUCAUGGCAGCGGUGGCUGAGAUGGCUCGCGGAGCCAACGCCCCAUCUGUCCCUCCUGUGUGGGAAAGACAUGUCCUUAAUGCAACUGACCCACCUCGAGUUACAUGCAGACACCGAGCGUACGAGGAGGUAGCUGGCUCCACGAGCUCAAUUCUUACACAAGAUCAUCUGGUUCAUCGUUCAUUUUUCUUUAGCCCUUCAGAUAUAACUGCUCUUCGAAGAUUGGUCCCACCUCACCUC
rnacentral:lncRNA from 1 species